rnacentral:ncRNA from 1 species
CUGAGCCGUAUGCGUUGAAAGGCGCACGUACGGUUCUUAGGGGGAGGUGGGCCAGAAAUGGCCGACCUCUACCCGAC